rnacentral:lncRNA from 1 species
UAAGUGUGGGGGGGAAAACCUUGUUCUUUCAACCUUCCCUUUUCAAGUAUGUUACUUUCCCUUUCAUUGUUAUUUCCCUUUCUUAUUAUUAUGAGAAAAAAAAUUAUAAUACAUAUUUAUUUUAAGUUAAGUCCCUAAUGUGAAAAAUUUCUUAUUAUCUAUUCCCCUUAAUUUUCUUGAGCCAUAACAAAAAAAAAAUCAACACACUCAGUAAAUAUAAAGGUUGCUUAUUUUACAAAACUUGAGUAAAAUUAAG